CUACCCUAUACAGGGUUGAUAGCAAAGGGCUAUUUCUACUCAUAAUGACUAUUUCUGGGAACCAAAGGGCAAAUUGAGGUCCAGUUUUCACAGUUGGAUUCACAUUGACACAGAAGCCUGCCUAUGCUGAUCUAGGGGAAGACUGGCCUUUAGAUGAGUUUGACUGCAUGCCCAGGCUGGCGAGUAUGAGAGCAUAAGGAACUCUGCUACUUCCUGUUGCAGGCUAACUGCAUUGCCAGACCCUGCCUAGGAGAGAGGGAUAGUCUGUGGAUGGCUUCUCUUGUGCAGAGUGGACCGCAUCUUAAUGGAGCUAGUGUCUGAUGGACCAAACUCUCCCCUCUAGUGAGCAUCCCAUGGACCACCAUUACUACUUGCAAUCACAUAACUUUCUGAUACAUUUUAUAUGUGCCAACCUCUCUAUGGCAGAUGUUCAUCUCUGUUGAACAGAGCACCAUACAGAUGUUUUACUGACUACAGGUGACAUGUUUAACAACAAUAAGCUCCAGAAGUAUUGGAAGAGUUUUUAGCUAAGAAUCUGGACAAAAUGAAGGACUUGCAAAGUAUACAGCUAAAGAAAAUAUUAAA